rnacentral:sRNA from 1 species
GCCUGAAUAAGGUGCUCGCGGUGGAGGC